UAACAAAUGACAAGAGAUUCAUAUCAAAUGAAUGGACAUUCUUUUGCAUCCAGAGUGCAUUGACUCAUCCUCAAUUCAACAUUGCAAAUCACAUAAAGAGAUUCCAGACCACAAUAAUGUGCAUCAGGGACUCAGGGUUCAUUUACAUUAAUAAAUGCUCCAUUGCAUAAAAUAAUUCAUGAGCACACCAAUUUAGCAUGAGUGACAACCAUCAAUAGCCCAAGAAAAUUCACUUUGUUCACCUAUUAUUUUUAGCUCUGUUUAUAAUCCACAAUUGUCUCAAUUGUCUAAGAGAGCUGAAUAGAGAAAAAUGAUCUAUAUAGCCAACCUCAACUAGUUUGGG
rnacentral:misc_RNA from 1 species